UACAGAGGUCCCGAGCGUUGUUCGGAUUCACUGGGCGUAAAGGGCGUGUAGGCGGCUUCGUAAGUCUUGUGUGAAAGCCCUCGGCUCAACCGAGGAAUUGCACGAGAAACUGCGUGGCUCGAGUCCGGGAGAGGAUAGUGGAAUUCCCAGUGUAGCGGUGAAAUGCGUAGAUAUUGGGAGGAACACCGGUGGCGAAGGCGGCUAUCUGGACCGGUACUGACGCUGAUACGCGAAAGCCAGGGGAGCAAACGGG
rnacentral:rRNA from 1 species